rnacentral:rRNA from 1 species
UGGGGAAUUUUGGACAAUGGGCGCAAGCCUGAUCCAGCCAUUCCGCGUGAGUGAAGAAGGCCUUCGGGUUGUAAAGCUCUUUCGCAAGGGAAGAACACUUAGGCGCUAAUAUCGCUUGAGGUUGACGGUACCUUGAUAAGAAGCACCGGCUAACUACGUGCCAGCAGCCGCGGUAAUACGUAGGGUGCGAGCGUUAAUCGGAAUUACUGGGCGUAAAGCGUGCGCAGGCGGUUUUGUAAGUCAGAUGUGAAAUCCCCGAGCUCAACUUGGGAACUGCGUCCGAAACUACAAGACUAGAAUAUGUCAGAGGGGGGUAGAAUUCCACGUGUAGCAGUGAAAUGCGUAGAGAUGUGGAGGAAUACCAAUGGCGAAGGCAGCCCCCUGGGAUAAUAUUGACGCUCAUGCACGAAAGCGUGGGGAGCAAACAGG